rnacentral:rRNA from 1 species
AUUGAACGCUGGCGGCAGGCCUAAAACAUGCAAGUCGAGCGGUAGAGAGAAGCUUGCUUCUCUUGAGAGCGGCGGACGGGUGAGUAAUGCCUAGGAAUCUGCCUGGUAGUGGGGGAUAACGUUCGGAAACGGACGCUAAUACCGCAUACGUCCUACGGGAGAAAGCAGGGGACCUUCGGGCCUUGCGCUAUCAGAUGAGCCUAGGUCGGAUUAGCUAGUUGGUGGGGUAAUGGCUCACCAAGGCGACGAUCCGUAACUGGUCUGAGAGGAUGGUCAGUCACACUGGAACUGAGACACGGUCCAGACUCCUACGGGAGGCAGCAGUGGGGAAUAUUGGACGAUGGGCGAAAGCCUGAUCCAGCCAUGCCGCGUGUGUGAAGAAGGUCUUCGGAUUGUAAAGCACUUUAAGUUUGGAGGAAGGGCAGUAAAUUAAUACUUUGCUGUUUUGACGUUACCGACAGAAUAAGCACCGGCUAACUCUGUGCCAGCAGCCGCGGUAA